UUCAGAGUAGUCUAGGUUGGAUACAAGUUUUGUAAAUUUGGGGGUGGUGCUGGUU
rnacentral:tRNA from 1 species